UGCUGAUCUGAAGAUGAUGAGUUAUCUCAAUCGAUUGUUCAGUUACAGAUCCAACUCCUUGCUCUAUUCUUUUCUCUCUUCUCACUACUGUACUUGGCUAGGAAAAU
ensembl:Y_RNA Y_RNA Y RNA